rnacentral:rRNA from 1 species
GUCCACGCCGUAAACGAUGAUAACUAGCUGUCCGGGGACUUGGUCUUUGGGUGGCGCAGCUAACGCAUUAAGUUAUCCGCCUGGGGGAGUACGGCCGCAAGGUUAAAACUCAAAUGAAUUGACGGGGGCCUGCACAAGCGGUGGAGCAUGUGGUUUAAUUCGAAGCAACGCGCAGAACCUUACCAGCGUUUGACAUGGCAGGACGACUUCCGGAGACGGAUUUCUCCCUUCGGGGACCUGCACACAGGUGCUGCAUGGCUGUCGU